ACAGCGGCCGACCGUGCUGCCGGGCAGGGUCCAGGGCCGAGCCACAGGCCGCAGGGCCGGAGAACCCGGGCACUAACUCCUCUCUUGAGGAAGGAGCUGGACAGGCACGAGCUGAUCCCUCUGGAGAUCCCAGAGGCUGAGGGACAGUCGCCGUGGGCAGCAGCUCCUAUGUUAAUCACUGACCCUGCUGACUCCAGCAUUUACCAGUGUCUCACUGCCCUGUGAGCACCGCUUUGCAUUUGCAACCGAAGAAGUUAAAAGGAUGAAGGAUGAGAAGGGAAGAUCGGCAUCUGUGGAUAUGAACACCAGCCUGCCAGAGGGGAAAAGAGCCAGGAUUGGACAGGUUGAGAGAGUGGAGCUGGCUUUGAAAGAUUGUCUGAAGGGGAUAAAGCUCACCAGGGAAUGGU